rnacentral:pre_miRNA from 36 species
GCAGCAAGAAAAAUGAGGGACUUUCAGGGGCAGCUGUGUUUUACUAACCCAGUCAUAAUGCCCCUAAAAAUCCUUAUUGUUCUUGCAAUGGUC